rnacentral:pre_miRNA from 1 species
UUAGCUCAUAUUUGUAUGGAAUGGGAUCGUUUGCCUAUGUUUGCUGUUAGGGGCGCUGUUCCAACUGCAUACAAAAUUGGGUUA